AUACGAAGGGUGCAAGCGUUAAUCGGAAUUACUGGGCGUAAAGCGUACGUAGGCGGUUCGUUAAGUUAGAUGUGAAAGCCCCGGGCUUAACCUGGGAACUGCAUUUAAAACUGGCGAACUAGAGUUGAGUAGAGGGGAGUGGAAUUUCAGGUGUAGCGGUGAAAUGCGUAGAGAUCUGAAGGAACACCAGUGGCGAAGGCGGCUCCCUGGACUCAAACUGACGCUGAGGUACGAAAGCGUGGGUAGCAAACGGGAUUAGAAACCCGAGUAGUCC
rnacentral:rRNA from 1 species